CGUAGGGGCGAGCGUUGUCCGGAAUUACUGGGCGUAAAGGGUUCGCAGGCGGCAUGGCAAGUCCGAUGUAAAAGGCGAAGGCUCAACCUUCGUAAGCAUCGGAAACUGUCAAGCUUGAGUGAAGGAGAGGCAAGUGGAAUUCCUAGUGUAGCGGUGGAAUGCGUAGAUAUUAGGAGGAAUACCGGUGGCGAAGGCGACUUGCUGGACUUCAACUGACGCUGAGGAACGAAAGCGUGGGUAGCAAACAGGAUU
rnacentral:rRNA from 1 species